CAAUGCCGGAUCCUUAACCCACUGAUCGAGGCCAGGGAUCAAACCUGCAACCUCGUGGUUCCUAGUCGGAUUCGUUUCCGCUGUGCCAUGACUGGAACUGCUGCCCUCUCUUGAUUUAUUUGCUGACGGUGGUUAGAGGAAGGCUUGAAGGAAGGAAUGAAGUUUGAGCAAGGUCAUGAAAAUGUGGUCCAGGAGUUCCAGGCAUCCGAGGCUGGAGACCGUGUGAUGGAUGCCUUGGAGGGAGCAGGUGUCCAUCAGGUGGCCUUGAACAGGUGAGGCCGACUCCUGUUCCUGUUGGACAACAAUAAACAUUUAAUCGUUGACGGGAAAGUGGACACCGUCCUUGAAGGAAAAGACUUCAGGCAGGGAAGGGCUGGGGCGUACUUUAAAGGCAGAAAUGUGUCUGGAAAUGUGUCUUCUCUGACUUGCGGCCCCACAGCCCGUAAAGCCUCUCUGAGUCCAGAUUCGCCCCCACUCGAGCCACGAUCGCAUCCGGUCCCUGCUCAGAAGCUUUCCAGGGCUCUGUGUCGUGUAGACGUCAAACCCCAGGUGCUUUGUUGGUGGAGCCAGUUUGUCCCGGCACAGCUGUCCCCAGGCAUCUUCUACUUUCUUCCAGGAGCCCUCCUGGCGGGCCAGCGCGCCCUCCUCGCCAGCACUCUGGUGCCUGUGUGUUUCUGCUUGUCCCUGGCCUGCAAAGUCCGUGGUCCCCCCACCUCCAGCCCUCAGGGCGGACUCCCUGCCCUGCUCACGCCUGUCCCUGGUCUUUGUGGAUUUCACUCACCCACACGCCUUUCCUUUGGUGACGCCAGCAGUCCCCUCCCCACCAGAUCAGAUGGUAAACGCGCUGCUGGAGGGUGAGAACUGCAUGUUCCCUUCUCCCCCCUGCCCACCCCCCGCCCCUGCCCCGAGUACCCAGCAUUGUCUGAUUGAUAGAGGGCUUUAUUGCCACUAGGGAGGUUUCUGAGGCGCUUGUGAAUGUACCAAGCCAUUUCAAAGACGUUUUAUUAACGUGAAGUGAAGCCACCUUUCUGAAGGCUAUAGAAAAACAGACUUUUAAAAUCAGAAUUCCCAUCUGAGUAAUAAAUUCAAUUACAUUUUUGGAUUAAAAAAAGAAAAGAGGUGAUAUUGGUUUUGCAUUUCUUCUCCGCCCUGUUUCCAGGCAACCUUGAACUUGUCCAAUAAAAAAGUCGAAACAAAAGACUGUGAGAUGCACGACCUUAGCCCGAAAAUUCCACCCUUAGCUGGCCAGACACAUGACUUGGCGUUGUAACCAGGCGCUCCUAAAAGGCCAGCCCCUCUUUUCCCAUAUUAGGGGGGUUUUGGGGGGGUGAUUUUAGGAAGAAUGCUUGGUGUCAAGGACAUAGGCUUUAGAGUUACAUACUCUGAGUAACUUGAAUUUUGAGGUUUUUGCUGUGAAAUUGGGAAAAAUCCUUGAAAACUUUCUGAGCUUUGGUUUCUGUGUCUGAAAUGAUCGGCCAAGCAGCCUGCUCCCCCACGGCGUGACUGCAGAGUUGACAAAGUAACAAAGAUGCCUUUUGUCCCAUGUCAUCACCGCCACCCCCGGAAGCAAGGGCAGAGCAGCAGAGGCGGGCGCUCGGAAUUUCUGCCCCGCCAGGCACUCAGUAGCACCCCGGAACCUCCCCUCCCCGGGCACGGCUCUGCCUCUCAGAGCCACCUUCCCGGAGCCAGAGCCAGAACCCCUGCUGGGCUGGACCUUCUUGUCGUCCGACUCCUUCAUCCGUGGGCAGCGGUGGCUCACGCCAUCCCACCCCCCACCUUGGCCCUUGACGUCAGAUUACACUCCUUUCCAGCCAGUGGGGCCAGUUUGGGGGUGACCCUGGGAUGACAGCAGGAGUCUCCUCCACGGUCGGAGGGAGGGAGUGCGUGCCUUCCCUGAAUCAUUGGAAGGGCCCAAGCUCACAGGCUUUGCUCAGCAGAGGGCUGCCACACCCUUGCCGGGGAGGUUCGAGUUAAGUUAAAAGCAACAGGAGCUGGUUCUCAGCUGGGGGACCGGGGCAGGGGGCUGAGCAGAUUUCCCUCCCCUGCCCUCACCCCAUCCCCAGUCUGCUCAUUCUUUGCUUUUCCUUUCUUUUUUCUUUUUUUUUUGUCCACAGCUCACGGCAACGCUGGCUCCUUAACCCACUGAGUGAAGCCAGGGAUCGAACCCAUGUCCUCAUGGAUACUGGCCAGGUUUGUUACCACUGAGCCACAGAGGGAACUCCCUGCACUCUGCUCUUUCUUCCUCGUUUCUUUCUCGGCCUUUCCUCUCCCCCCUGGACCAGAGCAAUUAGUUCGGCUCGGAGGUGGGAGGAGAGCCGGGAAAGGACGAGCCCAGGAGGUGAGGUCCCGCCAGCUCUCUCCUGUCUGGACCGGAGGUGCCUGAACACAUGGACCACUCAGACGUAAAGGGACCCAACUUCGUUCCCAUCGGUCGGUCAUAAUUCUGCCCCUGGAAGAACAGAGGCAGGGAAGACCUGCCCGCUGUGCUGGAGCUGUCCGUGGUCCUGACAAGGCUGGCAGCAAUAAAGCCAUAAUCAGCUUAUCAAAGGAAGAAGCACAAGAAGCCAGAAGCACGUCCCUUAAUAAAGAUCUUGCUCUUA